AUGUUCUGGUUCCUCUCCAGAUCACAUAAAUUUCUCACCUUUUAUUAAUACCAAAGAUUUCUGUGGAGAGGAACAACUGAGCCUUUAACUAACUGCUUGAGACUUUGUGUCUGCAGGGCU